GAUGAAGAACGUAGCGAAAUGCGAUACGUAAUGUGAAUUGCAGAAUUCAGUGAAUCAUCGAGUCUUUGAACGCACAUUGCGCCCGCCAGUAUUCUGGCGGGCAUGCCUGUCCGAGCGUCAUUUCAACCAUCAAGCCCCGGGCUUGUGUUGGGGACCUGCGUCCGACGCAGGCCCUGAAAACCAGUGGCGGGCUCGCUGUCCACACCGAGCGUAGUAACUAACCUCGCUAUGGAGUGGCGCGGGCGCCUGCCGUAAAACCCCCAAUUUCACAAGGUUGACCUCGGAUCAGGUAGGAAUACCCGCUGAACUUAAGCAUAUCAAUAAGCGGAGGA
rnacentral:misc_RNA from 1 species